rnacentral:rRNA from 1 species
GAUGAACGCUGGCGGCGUGCCUAAUACAUGCAAGUCGAGCGAACGGACGAGAAGCUUGCUUCUCUGAUGUUAGCGGCGGACGGGUGAGUAACACGUGGAUAACCUACCUAUAAGGCGGGGAUAACUUCGGGAAACCGGAGCUAAUACCGGAUAAUAUUUUGAACCGCAUGGUUCAAAAGUGAAAGACGGUCUUGCUGUCACUUAUAGAUGGAUCGGCGCUGCAUUAGCUAGUUGGUAAGGUAACGGCUUACAAAGGCAACGAAGCAUAGCCGACCUGGGAGGUGGAUCGCCAACACGGGAACUGGGCCACGGUCCGAACUCCUCGGGGAGGCAGCGGAAGGGAAUCUUGCGCAAUGGGGGAAAGCCUGACGGAGCAACGCCGCGUGGGUGAUGAAGGUCUUCGGAUCGUAAAACCCUGUUAUUGGGAAAGAACAGAUGUGGAAGUAAAUGUGCACAUCUUGACGGUACCUAAUCAGAAAGCCACGGCUAACUACGUG